rnacentral:snoRNA from 1 species
AAACGAUGAUGAGGACAACAUUGGAGUAAUUCUUUGUAUCUUUCCCAAGCUUCGUGCAAUGAUUCUGAAUCUUGCUACAUGAAUGAUGUAAUAUCAUUCCUUAAUUU